UUAAGCGACUAAGCGUACACGGUGGAUGCCCUGGCAGUCAGAGGCGAUGAAGGACGUGCUAAUCUGCGAAAAGCGUCGGUAAGGUGAUAUGAACCGUUACAGCCGGCGAUGUCCGAAUGGGGAAACCCAGUGCAAUUCGUUGCACUAUCGUUAACUGAAUACAUAGGUUAACGAGGCGAACCGGGGGAACUGAAACAUCUAAGUACCCCGAGGAAAAGAAAUCAACCGAGAUUCCCCCAGUAGCGGCGAGCGAACGGGGAGCAGCCCAGAGUCUGAAUCAGCUUGUGUGUUAGUGGAACGGUCUGGAAAGUCCGACGGUACAGGGUGAUAGUCCCGUACACCAAAAUGCACAGGCUGUGAACUCGAAGAGUAGGGCGGGACACGUGGUAUCCUGUCUGAAUAUGGGGGGACCAUCCUCCAAGGCUAAAUACUCCUGACUGACCGAUAGUGAACCAGUACCGUGAGGGAAAGGCGAAAAGAACCCCGGCGAGGGGAGUGAAAAAGAACCUGAAACCGUGUACGUACAAGCAGUGGGAGCACCUUCGGGUGUGACUGCGUACCUUUUGUAUAAUGGGUCAGCGACUUAUAUUCUGUAGCAAGGUUAACCGUAUAGGGGAGCCGCAGGGAAACCGAGUCUUAACUGGGCGUUAAGUUGCAGGGUAUAGACCCGAAACCCGGUGAUCUAGCCAUGGGCAGGUUGAAGGUUGGGUAACACUAACUGGAGGACCGAACCGACUAAUGUUGAAAAAUUAGCGGAUGACUUGUGGCUGGGGGUGAAAGGCCAAUCAAACCGGGAGAUAGCUGGUUCUCCCCGAAAGCUAUUUAGGUAGCGCCUCGUGAACUCAUCUUCGGGGGUAGAGCACUGUUUCGGCUAGGGGGUCAUCCCGACUUACCAACCCGAUGCAAACUACGAAUACCGAAGAAUGUUAUCACGGGAGACACACGGCGGGUGCUAACGUCCGUCGUGAAGAGGGAAACAACCCAGACCGCCAGCUAAGGUCCCAAAGUCAUGGUUAAGUGGGAAACGAUGUGGGAAGGCACAGACAGCCAGGAUGUUGGCUUAGAAGCAGCCAUCAUUUAAAGAAAGCGUAAUAGCUCACUGGUCGAGUCGGCCUGCGCGGAAGAUGUAACGGGGCUAAACCAUGCACCGAAGCUGCGGCAGCGACACUAUGUGUUGUUGGGUAGGGGAGCGUUCUGUAAGCCUGCGAAGGUGUGCUGUGAGGCAUGCUGGAGGUAUCAGAAGUGCGAAUGCUGACAUAAGUAACGAUAAAGCGGGUGAAAAGCCCGCUCGCCGGAAGACCAAGGGUUCCUGUCCAACGUUAAUCGGGGCAGGGUGAGUCGACCCCUAAGGCGAGGCCGAAAGGCGUAGUCGAUGGGAAACAGGUUAAUAUUCCUGUACUUGGUGUUACUGCGAAGGGGGGACGGAGAAGGCUAUGUUAGCCGGGCGACGGUUGUCCCGGUUUAAGCAUGUAGGCUGAUUAUCCAGGCAAAUCCGGAUAAUCAAGGCUGAGGUGUGAUGACGAGGCACUACGGUGCUGAAGUAACAAAUGCCCUGCUUCCAGGAAAAGCCUCUAAGCAUCAGGUAACAUCAAAUCGUACCCCAAACCGACACAGGUGGUCAGGUAGAGAAUACCAAGGCGCUUGAGAGAACUCGGGUGAAGGAACUAGGCAAAAUGGUGCCGUAACUUCGGGAGAAGGCACGCUGGUGUGUAGGUGAAGUCCCUGCGGAUGGAGCUGAGACCAGUCGAAGAUACCAGCUGGCUGCAACUGUUUAUUAAAAACACAGCACUGUGCAAACACGAAAGUGGACGUAUACGGUGUGACGCCUGCCCGGUGCCGGAAGGUUAAUUGAUGGGGUUAUCCGUAAGGAGAAGCUCUUGAUCGAAGCCCCGGUAAACGGCGGCCGUAACUAUAACGGUCCUAAGGUAGCGAAAUUCCUUGUCGGGUAAGUUCCGACCUGCACGAAUGGCGUAAUGAUGGCCAGGCUGUCUCCACCCGAGACUCAGUGAAAUUGAACUCGCUGUGAAGAUGCAGUGUACCCGCGGCAAGACGGAAAGACCCCGUGAACCUUUACUAUAGCUUGACACUGAACAUUGAGCCUUGAUGUGUAGGAUAGGUGGGAGGCUUUGAAGCGUGGACGCCAGUCUGCGUGGAGCCAACCUUGAAAUACCACCCUUUAAUGUUUGAUGUUCUAACGUUGGCCCCUGACCGGGGUUGCGGACAGUGUCUGGUGGGUAGUUUGACUGGGGCGGUCUCCUCCCAAAGCGUAACGGAGGAGCACGAAGGUUAGCUAAUCCUGGUCGGACAUCAGGAGGUUAGUGCAAUGGCAUAAGCUAGCUUGACUGCGAGCGUGACGGCGCGAGCAGGUGCGAAAGCAGGUCAUAGUGAUCCGGUGGUUCUGAAUGGAAGGGCCAUCGCUCAACGGAUAAAAGGUACUCCGGGGAUAACAGGCUGAUACCGCCCAAGAGUUCAUAUCGACGGCGGUGUUUGGCACCUCGAUGUCGGCUCAUCACAUCCUGGGGCUGAAGUAGGUCCCAAGGGUAUGGCUGUUCGCCAUUUAAAGUGGUACGCGAGCUGGGUUUAGAACGUCGUGAGACAGUUCGGUCCCUAUCUGCCGUGGGC
rnacentral:rRNA from 1 species